rnacentral:rRNA from 1 species
GACGAACGCUGGCGGCGUGCUUAACACAUGCAAGUCGAACGGAAAGGCCCUGCUUUUGUGGGGUGCUCGAGUGGCGAACGGGUGAGUAACACGUGAGUAACCUGCCCUUGACUUUGGGAUAACUUCAGGAAACUGGGGCUAAUACCGGAUAGGAGCUCCUGCUGCAUGGUGGGGGUUGGAAAGUUUCGGCGGUUGGGGAUGGACUCGCGGCUUAUCAGCUUGUUGGUGGGGUAGUGGCUUACCAAGGCUUUGACGGGUAGCCGGCCUGAGAGGGUGACCGGCCACAUUGGGACUGAGAUACGGCCCAGACUCCUACGGGAGGCAGCAGUGUGGAAUAUUGCACAAUGGGCGGAAGCCUGAUGCAGCAACGCCGCGUGCGGGAUGACGGCCUUCGGGUUGUAAACCGCUUUCGCCUGUGACGAAGCGUGAGUGACGGUAAUGGGUAAAGAAGCACCGGCUAACUACG